rnacentral:rRNA from 1 species
GACGAACGCUGGCGGCGUGCUUAACACAUGCAAGUCGAACGGAAAGGCCCUGCUUUUGUGGGGUGCUCGAGUGGCGAACGGGUGAGUAACACGUGAGUAACCUGCCCUUGACUUUGGGAUGACUUCAGGAAACUGGGGCUAAUACCGGAUCGGAGCUCCUGCUGCAUGGUGGGGGUUGGAAAGUUUCGGGGGAUGGGGAUGGGCUGGGGGCUUAUCAGCUUGUUGGUCGGGUAGUGGCUUACCAAGGCUUUGACGGGUCGCCGGCCUGGUAGGGUGACCGGCCCAGUUGGGAUGGAAAUAAGGCCCAGACCCCAACGGGAGGCAAGAGUGGGGAAGAGUGUACUAGGGGCGGAAGGCAGGUGCAGUAACGCAGCGUGGGGGAUGAGGGCCUGCGGGUUGUAAUCCGAUGUCGCCUGUGACGAAGCGUGAGUGACGGUAAUGGGAAAAGAAGCACCGGCUAACUACGUG